rnacentral:lncRNA from 1 species
CGCUAACAAUGAAUUUAAUCAAAGCAUAAGUACAUCUUUUAAGCAAAGAUUGAAACUUUACUUAUAAUAAUUAAAGAAUAAAGUCAAAAAUGCACGUACAACUAUUGCUAGUUCAUUUUUAUACCAUGAACAUGAAAAUAACCAUAAUAUCGACACUGCAACGUCCUAUGGCCUUCUAGGCCGUCUACAACAAACAAAAUUAUAACUACAAACUACAAAGAAGAAAAAAGAUGAAGAAGAAAAUGAUAAUAAAACUAAAAAAAGGAAAAGUUGUGUUUACCUUUUUGGGGGCAGCAAAAUGGGACUACAAGCUUUUUUUGGAGUCUUGAUCACCACCGGAAAGCAUUCAACUCGAGAACUUGGAUUAGCCCACGAAUUUCAUGGAAAAUGAAAUUUUUUUACUAAAAUAAAAACUCUUCUUUGCUCAAAGCUUUUUUUUUCAACCUUGAGGCUUUUUUUUCCACUAAAAACAAAAUUCAACUAUUUAUUCAAAAGCUUUUCAAUUCUUUGAGGCUUUGAGACUUUGUUUUUCUACCAAAAUAGUGGUAGUAUUUAUAGAAAAGUAUAGGAUCCAUUUCUAUUAAUCUACCAAUGUGGGAGAAAGUUUUUUAGGGGUAUUUUUGGAAUUUAAAAUUGAAAAUAAGGUGAGGUGGAAGAUAAUGUAGGGGGAAAUCGUACAAUAUAGUACAAUUUUUGAAUUUCAAAAAUUAAAAUUUAGAAAAAGAAAAAAGGUUGGGGGAAUUGUACAAUAUAGUACAAUCUUUGAAUUUCAAAAUUGGGAAAGGACAAAGUUGGGGGGAAAUAGUACAAUGUAGUACAGUUUGAAAUAAUUUUUUGGUAGGAAUUGGAUAGAAGUUAUAAGAGUUUUUGGGAAUUUUGGGGUUAUUUAAAAUAUAACCUUAAUUGAGAUUUAAAAUUAAGUCAUAUUUAUUUAAUUUUGACCAAAUUAAAAAAUCAAUUGACGAAUUGCAUUGCAAUUAUGGCCAAUUUGAUUUCAAUUAUGGUCAAAUCUAAUAGAUUGGUUAAAUUAAAUUGAAAUUCAAUACUAAUUAAUACCUCUUUUAAUCCCGAGCUUCUUGAUUUAAUAAAAUCAAAUGCAUAUUUAUCCAAAUAAAUUGUAUUAAAAUCAAGGUUUUAAUCAUUAUAUUUAUUUUCAAAAUAAUCCUUAAUUAAAAUUCAAUAUUCCAUAGAAUAAAUAUUUAAGCAAUCAAAUUAUAUAAUCUCGUAUAACUGAACACGAUAAUAUAUAAUUUCUAAUUAAAAUGAUAAAAUUACGUGCAAAAAUAUUUUAAAAAAAAUUAUUCGGAUGAAAUAAAUAUUUUAAUUUUAUUAAAAACCGAAGAAACUCAAAAUUAAAUUUAGUCGUGGAGGGCAAAAAUUAGGUGUCAACAGGGGACUUGGUACUUCUUUACAGUAGCAGGCUUAGAUUAUUUUCUGAAAAACCAAAAUCCAGAUGGACAGGUCCCUACAGUGUUACAAAUAUCACUUCUUAUGGAGCUAUUGAAAUACAACAUAUUAGGUGGAGAUAAGUUUAAGGUAAAUGGUCAUAGGCUAAAAUUAUAUUUUGAAGGACGGUUUGAUGAACAACCGUCAGUGACACUAAUUGAAUAAUGAAUCAUGCAAUCAAUAAGUCGAGCUGAUGACAUUAAACUCAGAACUACUAUUUCUACCCGUAGCCAUUGAGGGUGAAGCAAUGGAGCCUUAUAAGCCCAGUAAACUUCACGUCAAUUAAUUGCUUAAUCAAUUGACUUGGUUAAUAUCUAGGUUAUUGUACAACCAAAAGAUCUCAUGAAGGCCUCUACAAAAACAGAGUCAUCUACACAGGAGUAAUUCCAUGGUGAUUGGUAUGCCUAUGUAACUGGUUGAUUAACCAAUUAAUUGUGCAUGAUAAUUAUUGGCUCACGUAAUUUUUUUAUUUAUAUUAAACCAAAGACAAAUAAUUAUUUAUUUCUAGUACUAUUAUUCACAAAUAUAUAAACUUGUAUAUGAUAUGUCACUACAGAAUCAACGAAUCAAAACUAAAUUGAAAAGUUAUUUUCCCUUGAGAGAAAUAUAUAUCCUUAAAAUCACAACCUAUUAAAUCUUUAUUUAGCAUUACUUAUUAUUAUUAUUCUAAUCAUUUUUACUCAUAUAAUCAUAUUUCUAUUGUAGAAGGACACAUUGAAGCUCCAUAGAAGCAACAAUCACAUCGAUAUUGAGGAAUAUAAUCUAUAUAUAAAUAUAUAUUUACUUAUAAUAAAUAUAAUAUGUAUGAUUGCAGUUUCUUUCAAGCUUUCUUCUGCAGUUGUAAAUUUGAAAGCCAAAAAUAUUUUAUAUAUUUCUCUUUAAACAUGAUUGCAUUGUAGAAUUUAAAUUAACAAAAUAAUUUUUUUACAUUAUGGUCAAGAUUAUUUCUUUCUCUUUUCACCAUAUGAUUUUCAUAAUUUUUUUUAUUUUUGAUUUUGUGAAGGAAAAAGCAAGCAUCUUCAACUCAAAAAUCUUGUCAAUUGAGAAGAGUUAUGAUCACUAAAUAAGAGGAAUCAACAAAUUUGGCUAGAACUUUCUCUUUUGUUUCUCAAGGCGAAAUAAUAGACGAUACUUAUUUCCAAAAAAUGAUAUUAGUCCUUCUUUGAUGCCAAAUUUUAAGCUCUAUUUCUAUCCACACCCACAUAUUCUUCCUUCUUAGAACCUUUAUUUUGAGCCCUAAUCUUUUUUUUAACAAUCUAAUUCUUAGAAAAUAUAUGUAAGUUCAAAUAUACACAUAUAUUCACUUCAACUAUAAAUGGACAGUAUACAAUUAAUAAAAAAUAAAGAAAAAUAAAAUUCUAAAAUAUAAUUUUCUGUGAGAAAUGGCAAAAGAAAGAAACGACAAUAAAAAAAAAUAGUUCAAGUCUUCUCAAAAAAAGAAAGAGAGAGAGAGAGAGAGAGAGAGAGAGAGAGAGAGAGAGAGAGAAUAAGAGAGAGAGAAUAAAAAAAAAGAAAUGAGAAUGAAAGAAAGUAACUGUCCCAAGUUGGAAAAAGAAAGUCAUUAUUAAAAUAUCCUUAUCCUACCAGUCUGAAGUCUAACAUUACAAGCCUAUAAAGUCCUAAAGUUAUUUCAGAAAAUAGAGUCGGAUCUAUAUUAGUGGAGACAAACAUAAGGACCAAGCCUAUGGACAAAACUGUGAUACUCACUGAAUAAGUAAUCAUAAACCUAUCAAUUCUGAAGGAUUGAAGAGAAGAAGAAAACAAGUUCUUUCUGAUCAAAGCAAAAUUCAAAAUAAGGUAAACAUUUGGUGAAUUUAGAAAAUUUAAUUAAAUUGAGCAUUAUGAAAGAAAUUUAUUCUGCAUAAAUUUUCUAUCCUACAAAAAUCAUUAAUUUUUAAAAUCUUUAAAAAUCUUCUUUUUCCUUGAGAACGAGCAAAAGUUCAAGUAUGGGGGAAUUUGAUGGAUAUAAAUUAUUCAUAUAAUUUAGUAUAUAAAAAGUAUAUUUUUAAAUAAAAUAUGAAUAAUUAUAUUUUAUCCUCGCAUAUUUUCUAACGAAUUCUACAAGAAAAAGAGUACAAAAGAAGACUAAAAGAAGAAAUAAAUUAUUAAAAUAAAAGAAUUCCACGGGUAUAACCACAAUUUCAUAGCCACAACUGUGGAACUCUUUGGGAGAAGUAGCAAAGCUCAUGGGUGAUGAUGAUCUUCACUUCAAAUCUUACACCCGUCAAGUGAAGGAAUGAAGAAGUUACAAGUUGACUGUUACAACCACCACUUCAAAAAAUGCAUUUGUUGGUUCAACAUUAUAAUUUUCUAUAAAUAGAGGCAUUUCUUUGAUUAUUAAUCAUCCAAAAAUUAGCAAAAACAAAGUGUUGGUCUCUUGUAAUAAAAAUAUUUCUUCAAGUCUUUUCUAUAUAUCUAGUUUCUUAAAUUUAAGUUUUUUCUACUUACAUAAUGGAGUGAUCUCUUUGUGUUGGGAGCGUUGAAGAAACUUGGUAUAAUAUAAUUAUAACAAUCUUAUUUUAGUUCUUUCAAGACUUGAUUUUAUUUAAAAUCUAAAUACUUCGUGUUGAAAUACUUUUACUAGAAAUUAGCGUUACUUGAUAUUUUAUAUUAUAGUUAUAGUUAUAUUAAGUUGUACUUCCCACAAGGAAGAAAACUAAAUAUACUAUAAGUAU